rnacentral:rRNA from 1 species
AUGGUUAAGUUAGAAAGGGCGCACGGUGAAUGCCUUGGCACUAGGAGCCGAUGAAGGACGGGACUAACACCGAUAUGCUUCGGGGAGCUGUAAGUGAGCUUUGAUCCGGAGAUUUCCGAAUGGGGAAACCCACUGUUCGUAAUGGAACAGUAUCUUUAUCUGAAUACAUAGGAUAUUGAAGGCAGACCCGGGGAACUGAAACAUCUAAGUACCCGGAGGAAGAGAAAGCAAAUGCGAUUUCCUGAGUAGCGGCGAGCGAAACGGAAUUAGCCCAAACCAAGAGGCUUGCCUCUUGGGGUUGUAGGACACUCUAUACGGAGUUACAAAGGAACGAAGUAAAUGAAGCGACCUGGAAAGGUCCGUCGAAGAAGGUAACAACCCUGUAGUUGAAACUUCGUUCCCUCUUGAGUGGAUCCUGAGUACGGCGGAACACGUGAAAUUCCGUCGGAAGCUGGGAGGACCAUCUCCCAAGGCUAAAUACUACCUAGUGACCGAUAGUGAACCAGUACCGUGAGGGAAAGGUGAAAAGCACCCCGGAAGGGGAGUGAAAGAGAUCCUGAAACCGUGUGCCUACAAGUAGUCAGAGCCCGUUAACGGGUGAUGGCGUGCCUUUUGUAGAAUGAACCGGCGAGUUACGAUCCCAUGCAAGGUUAAGCUGAUAAGGCGGAGCCGUAGCGAAAGCGAGUCUGAAUAGGGCGUUUAGUAUGUGGUUGUAGACCCGAAACCAGGUGAUCUACCCAUGUCCAGGGUGAAGUUCAGGUAACACUGAAUGGAGGCCCGAACCCACGCACGUUGAAAAGUGCGGGGAUGAGGUGUGGGUAGCGGAGAAAUUCCAAUCGAACCUGGAGAUAGCUGGUUCUCUCCGAAAUAGCUUUAGGGCUAGCCUCAUGUUGUGAGAGUCUUGGAGGUAGAGCACUGAUUGGACUAGGGGCCCCCAACGGGUUACCGAAUUCAGUCAAACUCCGAAUGCCAAAGACUUAUCCAUGGGAGUCAGACUGCGAGUGAUAAGAUCCGUAGUCAAAAGGGAAACAGCCCAGACCACCAGCUAAGGUCCCCAAGUAUACGUUAAGUGGAAAAGGAUGUGGAGUUGCUUAGACAACCAGGAUGUUGGCUUAGAAGCAGCCACCAUUUAAAGAGUGCGUAAUAGCUCACUGGUCGAGUGACUCUGCGCCGAAAAUGUACCGGGGCUAAACGUAUCACCGAAGCUGUGGAUUGACAUCUUUGAUGUCAGUGGUAGGAGAGCGUUCUAAGUGCAGCGAAGUCAGACCGUAAGGACUGGUGGAGCGCUUAGAAGUGAGAAUGCCGGUAUGAGUAGCGAAAGACAAGUGAGAAUCUUGUCCACCGAAUGCCUAAGGUUUCCUGAGGAAGGCUCGUCCGCUCAGGGUUAGUCGGGACCUAAGCCGAGGCUGAAAAGCGUAGGCGAUGGCCAACAGGUUGAUAUUCCUGUACCACCUCCCCGCCGUUUGAGUAAUGGGGGGACGCAGUAGGAUAGGGUAAGCGCGCUGCUGGAUAUGCGCGUUCAAGCAGUUAGGCUGAUGAGUAGGCAAAUCCGCUCAUCAUAAAGGCUGAGCUGUGAUGACGAGGGAAUUAUAGUACCGAAGUUCCUGAUUCCACACUGCCAAGAAAAGCCUCUAGCGAGGCGGGAGGUGCCCGUACCGCAAACCGACACAGGUAGGCGAGGAGAGAAUCCUAAGGUGAUCGAGAGAACUCUCGUUAAGGAACUCGGCAAAAUGACCCCGUAACUUCGGGAGAAGGGGUGCUCUGGUAGGGUGUAUAGCCCGAGAGAGCCGCAGUGAAUAGGCCCAGGCGACUGUUUAGCAAAAACACAGGUCUCUGCGAAGCCGCAAGGCGAAGUAUAGGGGCUGACGCCUGCCCGGUGCUGGAAGGUUAAGAGGAGGGGUUAUCCUUUGGGAGAAGCUCUGAAUCGAAGCCCCAGUAAACGGCGGCCGUAACUAUAACGGUCCUAAGGUAGCGAAAUUCCUUGUCGGGUAAGUUCCGACCCGCACGAAAGGCGUAACGAUCUGGGCACUGUCUCAACGAGAGACUCGGUGAAAUUAUAGUACCUGUGAAGAUGCAGGUUACCCGCGACAGGACGGAAAGACCCCGUGGAGCUUUACUGUAGCCUGAUAUUGAAUUUUGGUACAGCUUGUACAGGAUAGGUAGGAGCCUGAGAAGCCGGAGCGCUAGCUUCGGUGGAGGCGUCGGUGGGAUACUACCCUGGCUGUAUUGAAAUUCUAACCCGCGGCCCUGAUCGGGCCGGGAGACAGUGUCAGGUGGGCAGUUUGACUGGGGCGGUCGCCUCCUAAAAUGUAACGGAGGCGCCCAAAGGUUCCCUCAGAAUGGUUGGAAAUCAUUCGUAGAGUGUAAAGGCACAAGGGAGCUUGACUGCGAGACCUACAAGUCGAGCAGGGACGAAAGUCGGGCUUAGUGAUCCGGUGGUUCCGCAUGGAAGGGCCAUCGCUCAACGGAUAAAAGCUACCCCGGGGAUAACAGGCUUAUCUCCCCCAAGAGUCCACAUCGACGGGGAGGUUUGGCACCUCGAUGUCGGCUCAUCGCAUCCUGGGGCUGUAGUCGGUCCCAAGGGUUGGGCUGUUCGCCCAUUAAAGCGGUACGCGAGCUGGGUUCAGAACGUCGUGAGACAGUUCGGUCCCUAUCCGUCGUGGGCGUAGGAAAUUUGAGAGGAGCUGUCCUUAGUACGAGAGGACCGGGAUGGACACACCGCUGGUGUACCAGUUGUCUUGCCAAAGGCAUCGCUGGGUAGCUAUGUGUGGACGGGAUAAGUGCUGAAAGCAUCUAAGCAUGAAGCCCCCCUCAAGAUGAGAUUUCCCAUAGCGCAAGCUAGUAAGAUCCCUGAAAGAUGAUCAGGUUGAUAGGUCAGAGGUGGAAGCGUGGCGACAUGUGUAGCUGACUGAUACUAAUCGAUCGAGGACUUAACCAAAUUUU